rnacentral:lncRNA from 1 species
UCUGUUAUCUAACCACAAAACAUGGAUCAACUGAAUCUCAAAUCUAUACUAGAUCAAGAAGAGUAGAAGAGAAGCUCAAUUCCAACCUUCUUGCAUAACUGAAGGUAACAAUCUCUUUCCAUAAUCUUAUGUUGCGCAUUAUCAAGCUUUGGAUUUGAAUCAAUCAGUGGUUUUUGGGAUUUUGUUGGAGAAAAAUGCGGGUCCGGAAUUCCCAAACACGAGUUCAUUUCGUCGGAUUGGUGCAUUAGAUUCAAUUUAUUGUUUCUCUUUGAAUUAUUGGGUUCCUUUCUGCCCCAUUUUCACUGAAGUAUUUAUCUUUCUCUGCAUUCUUAGUUUUCUCUCAAUGUGGGUUGGUUUUAGCCGAUUUUUUUUAUUUGGGGAUCUGGAUUUUUUGCAUCCUUUUGAGAUUUCUGAAUUUAGAAUAGGGGUUUAAUUUAACUAUUUUCUUUGUGAACUUGAUCCCAAGUCAUAAAGGUCUUGAUUUGAAGGCAAAUUGGAGCUGCUCAUAUAACUUGGGUUCCAUAGUGUAACUCGUUUCAGAAGCUUUUUCACAUUGGGUAUCAAAUAUCAUAACUUAUUAUAGGGUACAUUGAUUAACAAAACUUAGUCUGAGAAUUCUGAGUUUUCGAAGGGUUGCUGAUUGGAUCACUAGCUUAAUGCUAAAGAAUUGAGGUAAAUGAUAGGGUUUUGGGUCCAUAAUUGAAGGGAAUUAUAUUAUUUCUUAUUUAGAGACUGGGGACUGUGAGGUUGGAAUAUCAUGGGUUGCAUUAGCUCCAAAGGAAGUUCUGCACAUGAGCAUAUCAUGGGUUGCAUUAACACUUGUUGAAUAUUGGCUCCUAUUUUGGUCUUUGGUCUUUGAUCUUUGAUCAUUAAUUAUUGGUCAAUGGUCUUUGGUCCUCACUCACUUUAUGGGUCAAGGGAACAUACUAAUGGGUCAAGGGAACAUAUCACCAUCACACUCAUUAAUGUUAUUCCUUUGUUGAAAAUGAGUCCAACUCAUUUCCUUUUCU